rnacentral:rRNA from 1 species
GACAGCAGUCGCCGCGGGAAUACAGAGGGUGCGAGCGUUAAUCGGAUUUACUGGGCGUAAAGCGUGCGUAGGCGGCUUCUUAAGUCGGAUGUGAAAUCCCUGAGCUUAACUUAGGAAUUGCAUUCGAUACUGGGAAGCUAGAGUAUGGGAGAGGAUGGUAGAAUUCCAGGUGUAGCGGUGAAAUGCGUAGAGAUCUGGAGGAAUACCGAUGGCGAAGGCAGCCAUCUGGCCUAAUACUGACGCUGAGGUACGAAAGCAUGGGGAGCAAACAGGAUUAAUACCCCAGUAGUCCCUGUCUCUUAUACA